rnacentral:lncRNA from 1 species
UUCUGAGAGAAGCACUGCUUUACAACAAAUACUUCUUUGUAUUGCCAACUCCAGCUGCUCUGAUGUCAACAAGGCCUAUUUCCUCCUCAGGAGCUGCCUGGUGAGAAGCUGAAUGACAAGUGAGCUGCUGGAUAUAUGUUAGAGAGGAAGUAGAACAAAUAAGGCUGUAUCGCCAUCUGGAGGAUAAGGAUGUCCUGUCCGUGCAUUCUGCAGGCGUCGUCCCAGGCUACAUCUCAUUCCCCAGGGAGAAGACUUCAAUCAUAAAGAGUCUGGAAACAUCCCGUGAAAAACAACUGUUUGUCUGUCCGGCAUCUUCUGAAGAAGACCACUUUCCUGUGUAUGCCAAACCAUCUAAGACAGUGAGGAUUUGAUGCAUCCUAAAAGAACAGAAUGUCUUGUUCAUUUACAUACAGUAAACACAUGUUUCAUCCAAACACGAUUGUGAAAUAGUUUUGAAAUCUUUCUUUCAUUGCACUUAUGAGACUGUUGGCUAGCAAGAGUCCCAGAAGGUUGAAUUGUCUCUUGUUUACACGGCAGGACCAAAUUACCAAAAAAUACCUGUCAGCAAGGUCUUGUGUCUUUUGUUUCUUGAGCACUUGAUUUCUGUUGAACUACUACUUCUAAGUAUAAGUCUCAGACACCUUCAGGAUCCAUCCAGUAUAAACUCCUGCUUUAAAGGAGGACAGCUAGUUUGGCAUAUAUAGUGGUAGUAUGUCUUUAUCACCACAGUCUAGAUAAAAUUUAGAAACUGGAAACACUUCUGUCUAGCAGUCAUAAUUCUGUCUUCGUUUUUCUGGCACCAGCUUCGCUUGCUCUUUCUUUUGAUUCAUUCUGCAUUUUCUUCUCCAAAUAUUUUCUUUGACUGAGUACCUAUAGUACUAAUGCUUGGCAUGCCGAGU